rnacentral:rRNA from 1 species
AGCGAACGCUGGCGGCAGGCCUAACACAUGCAAGUCGAACGAACCUUUCGGGGUUAGUGGCGGACGGGUGAGUAACACGUGGGAACGUGCCUUUAGGUUCGGAAUAACUCAGGGAAAUUUGUGCUAAUACCGAAUGUGCCCUUCGGGGGAAAGAUUAAUCGCCUUUAGAGCGGCCCGCGUCUGAUUAGCUAGUUGGUUAAGGUAAUGGCUCACCAAGGCGACGAUCAGUAGCUGGUCUGAGAGGAUGAUCAGCCACAUUGGGACUGAGACACGGCCCAAACUCCUACGGGAGGCAGCAGUGGGGAAUCUUGCGCAAUGGGCGAAAGCCUGACGCAGCCAUGCCGCGUGAAUGAUGAAGGUCUUAGGAUUGUAAAAUUCUUUCACCGGGGACGAUAAUGACGGUACCCGGAGAAGAAGCCCCGGCUAACUUCGUG